UAUAAUGUUUGACUAUUCGUCUUAUUAAAAAAUACGAUUAUCAUUUUUGUUUUUAUUAGAUGAUAAAUCAUGAAUAAUAUUUAACGUAUGACUAUUUUUUUCAAUUUCUUAAAAAAAAUUCAAAUAAGACGGAUGGUCAAAUGCUGGACACGGAAAUCAAAG
rnacentral:pre_miRNA from 1 species